rnacentral:rRNA from 1 species
CUACGGGUUGCUCCAGCCAGGAAACCUUUACAAUGCACGAAAGUGUGAUAGGGGAACCCUGAGUGCUCAUGUUUACAUGGGCUUUUGCCAUGCGAAAAUAACAUGGCGAAUAAGUGGUGGGUAAGACCGGUGCCAGCCGCCGCGGUAACCCCGGCGCCACUAGUGGGGACCACGUUUAUUGGGUCUAAAGCGUCCGCAGCCGAUAUAGUAAAUUCUUUGUGAAAUCGUACUGCUUCACAGUGCGACGCGCAAAGAACACUACUAUGUUAGGGACCGGGAGGAGGCAAGAGUAUGCAAAGGGGAGCGGUAAAAUGCUAUAAUCCUUUGUAGACUACCGAUAGCGAAGGCACUUGCCCAGAACGGGUCCGACGGUCAGGGACGAAGGCUAGGGGAGCAAAAGGGAUUAGAUACCCCUGUAGUC